AGUCACAUCUACUUGCAGAGCAAGAGAACAGGCGUGUCAUCAAAAGCGAAUUCCAGCAGAGACAUCCUCUCCCAUGUGAGAAGCAAAAUUGGAUUCAGUCAAUGCGAGGUACCAGGAGACUAAAAUGAGGAGUUUGACUUCCUGCUCGAGACUUCAGUGCACACCACGGCCAGAAGGGAAGGUGGAAACGUAAAGAAAAGAAGACCAGGUUGAUUACAAAAACAUAAUUUGAAAACAAAAUGGAGCUACCCUGAAACUGAAUAAAAAAUUAAUGAAACAGA